rnacentral:rRNA from 1 species
GACAGAGGGGGCAAGCGUUGCUCGGAAUCACUGGGCGUAAAGGGCGCGUAGGCGGGAUGGCAAGUCGGUCGUGAAAUCCUUCGGCCCAACCGAAGAACGUCGGCCGAUACUGCCGUUCUUGAGGGAUGCAGAGGAGACUGGAAUUCCCGGUGUAGCGGUGAAAUGCGCAGAUAUCAGGAGGAACACCGAUGGCGAAGGCAGCUCGCUGGGACGGUACUGACGCUGAGGCGCGAAAGCGUGGGGAGCAAACAGG